ensembl:lncRNA
AUGGGUAGGAUCUAGAGAAAUCAGGACAGAUAUUGGAAUACGCUGGGGCUGGCCAACAAGGAGACACUUCCUCUGGUCCUAAAUGGACAGGACAGAAAGCCCUUAUUAGUCCUUGCAGAGGGAGAAUUCCUGGGGAAGACCUCCUAAUAGGAGCUGCGGCCAGUCUGUGGUGACACUUCUUUCUUUGAUCCCCUGUUGAUUUUCUUUAGCUAAACCCCAAGGGAUGCCAGAAGUAACGGCGUUAUAGUCAGUUACCUGAUGAAUAGACGUGAUGUUUGCCACUUCUGGAUGAAGCCUUUCGAAGAAUAAGAAUUCUUCCUCCAUUCUCUGUUCGACUGGCUGGAUGCAGAUGAUAAGAAGGCCACAGAGAAGCCACAGGAUGGAAGGAACUUUGGUUCCUGAAUCAGUGCAUGUAGAAAAGCUGCCUGCUGACCUGAACAGCUGUUCUGAACUGUUAUAUAAACAAGAAAUAAACUUCUGUUGUAUUUAAGCCACUACAUAUUUGCAUCUGUUUGAUUCAGCAGUUUAUUUAGCCUACCCAAAGUAAUACAGAUGCCAUUAGAAUUUUAAUCUCAAAUACUUAAAUUAUUUAUUAUAUGUUUACAACCCUUAUGUGGUAAGCAGGGCAGGCACCUAUUUUAUAGGCAAAACAGUGAGGAAUAUGGAGAUUCAUAAAUUCUUUCAACAAAUACUUAUUGACCAUUAGGGAAAUUUGUUGCAAACAAUUUAUUAAAUCAUUAUUUUAUGAGAGCAUUCAUUCUUUCAUUCAUUUUAUAAAUAUUUACUCAGGGCUUUCAAUGUGUCCUUCAGGAGCUCACAGUCUAGUAUAAAAGACAAAUACUAAAUUUAAAAAUUAAGGACAUAAAUUG